rnacentral:lncRNA from 1 species
AUGUACUAUUCUUUUUUUUUGAGACAGGAUCUUGCUCUGUCACCCAGGCUGGAGUGCAAUGGUGCACUCAGCUCACUGAAGCCUCCACCUUGUGAGCUCAAGUUAUCCUCCCACCUCAGCCCCCAAAAUAGCUGGUAUUACAGGUGCACGCGCUCAUACCCAUCUGAUUUUUGUAUUUUUUAUAGAGACUGUUUUGCCACGUUGCCCAGGCUGGUCUCAAACUUCUGGCCUCAAGCAAUCUGCUCACCUCAGCCUCCCAAAGUGCUGGGAUUCCAGGCUUAUAGGUGGAAGAGACUUGCCUUGUCUCAGGUUGUGAGAAAGAUGAGGAAAAGAGCAUUAUUGCUGCUUGUCAUGUGAGGAUUCAUGUGCAGAUAGUAAGAAAGGUAAGGCAUUAUUUUCAGUCUCAAGAACGGUAAAAGGCACAGGUGGGACUUGAACCCAGGACUCUUGGCUUCAAGUUCAGAGUUUUCUUUGUGCACCAGCUCCCCCUCAACAGGAUUUGACUAUCCUGCAGUAACCCUUGAGGAAGUUUAGUCCUUGGGAAGCUUGGCCUGCCAGUCUCUGAAAAAAUAUGAUGGGGUUGGUGAUGCAUGUUGGGUUAAGGGGACAGAGGAGGGGUAAAUGGAAGAAGCAGGUUGAUGGUUGUUGUCUAUCAGGUAACAUAGUGUUUCUUUUCCCAUUUUCUUUGGAAUCAAGAAGCAACCAAGUCUGGGCUGAGCAGAGAACUAGAGAGGGUGCAGGAAGGAUGGUAGCAGGAAAGGGGAACAAAGCACUGUCCAGGAGCUUAUUGGAGACUGCCCUCAUUCUCUCUCCAACAGGGUCAGACUGCGUAGAUAGUGUGGAAGGUGCAGCUGGUCAAUGCUUUAUCAAAGGUGACCUCCUCACACACUCAGGGUUAGGGCCAGAGGAUUUGUAGACCUCUCUGUGCUGGAAUGGAUGCCAUACCUUGUACUUCCUCAGCAAUGUAAAACAUCCAGCAGUUACCUUCCAGCUGUCUACAACAUGAGUGCAUGUUCAUCGGGCAAGAGGUCAUAGCUAGGGCAACAAUCCACACGAGUUGGGAAGGGCUCAUUUCUCCUGUCAAACACUGCUGUUCUCAUGUGGAAUGCGUUGUGGCUUUUUGAUCGAAAUAAUUACCAUGGAAGAUCCUAGGUGGCAGCAAAGCCCAGGUGAGCAGUCUGAGCCAUGGAGGUAGCACAGGACACCCCAGCCGAGGAGAGUGCAGACCAACCAUUUGGCAUUUGGGGGCUGCCUGGGAGCAGCAAUUCCUGUUGCAAUCUAAGGUGUGUAUCUUUGUCUUCAUUAAGCUUCUUGAUAUUUUUGAUGUCAGGAAAUGAUUUUCCGGUGGGUGCGGUGGCAUCUCAUGCAAAGAUGUAUUUUGUGAGUUAAAUUAAUUAAGUCUUGAUCCCUCAUCUUACCAUUCCCAGAUUUGGUGACCAAGUCCAAGUUCAUCCUCUGUAUUAUUCUAGAUUUUAUAGACUCUGCAUAUAUCUCCAUUUAGUAAUUUCUUUCUGAGAGAGAGAGAGAGAGAGAGAGAGAGCGCAUGUGUGUCUGUGUGUGUCUGUUUGUGUGUGUGUGUGUGUCUGUGUGUGUGUGUGUUUCUGCCAUGCCAGGCAUCAGGGCUUCUUCUUGGGGCUGUGCCUUUCCUCCUGUUACAUUGGUUCUUUAAGAUCCUUGGCAAUGAUCCAUGCUACAAUAUGGAUGAACCUUAACAAAUAUUAUGGUAAGUGGCUCACACCUGUAAUCGCAGCACUUUGGGAUGCUGAGAGGAAGAUUGCUUAAGCCCAGGAGUUUGAGACCAGCAUGGGCAAUAUGGCAAAAUCCCAUCACUACAAAAGAUACAAAAAUUGACUGGGCAUGGUGGCAUAUGCCUGUAGUCCCAGCUACUUGGGAGCCCGAGGUGGGAGGAUCACUUGAGCCUGGGAAGCUGAGGCUGUAGUGAGUUAGGAUCGCACCAGUGCACUCCAACCUGGGUGACAGAAUGAGACCCUGUUUCAAAAAAAAAAAAAAAAGGAAAAUUAUUUUCUAAUUAAAAAAAAAUUAGCCAGGUGUUGUGGUGUGCACCUGUAGUGCUAGCUACUUGGGAGGCUGAGGCAGGAGGAUCACUUGAGCCCAGGAGUUUGGGGCUGCAGUGAGCUCUCAUGAUGCUACUGUACUGCAGCCUCACUGUCAGAGCAGGACCCUGUCUCUAAAUAAAAGUUUUUAAUAAAAACAAAGAAAAUAUUAUAGUAAGUAAAAGAAGCUAGACAUAAAGGAUCACAUAUGGUAUGAUUCAUUUAAAUGAAAUGUCCACAAGAGGCAAAUCCAUAGACUUGUAAAGUAGAAUUACAGUGUCCAGGGAAUGGAGGAAGGAUUAUUAAAAUAUUCUUAAAUUGAUAUGGUCUCAAGGCAUGUGGAUCACAAGGUCAGGAGAUUGAUACCAUCCUGGCCAACAGGGAGAAACCCUGUCUCUACUGAAAAUGCAAAAAAUUAGCUGGACCAUGGUGGCACACACCUGUAAUCCCAGCUAUUCAGGAGGCUGAGGAAGGAGAAUAGCUUGAACCCGGGAGGUGGAGGUUGCAGUGAGCUGAGAUUGAACCACUGCACUCCAGCCUGGGUGACAGGGUGAGACUGUCCCAAAAAGAAAAAAAUUGAUUGUGUUGAUGGACACAAAGCUUUGUGAAUACACUAAAAGCUAUUGAAUUGUACACUUUAAAUGGGUGGAGUAUAUGGUACUUGAAUUAUAGCUCAACAAAAUUAAAAAAAGAAAAGAUCCAGGCUGGUUUUGGGGCUUAUGCUGGUAAUCCCAGCACUUACUUUGGGAGGCCCAGACAGGUGGAUCACCUGAAGUCGGGAGUUCGAGACCAGCCUGACCAACAUGGUGAAACCCCGUUUCUAAAAAAGAAAAGAAAAGAUCCUUGGCAAUACAAACGUGGUGAGUUGUUUAGAGAGACUGUCAGUGUGCCAAGGCUACAGGAAGGUAGGGUAGGUCAUGGGGACAGGCUUUGUGCAGGAGUGGCUGAUAUAGAAUUCUUUAUUAUUAUUUAUUUAUUUAGAGACGGAGUUUCACUAUUGUUGCCCAGGCUGGAGUGCAAUGGCAUGAUCUCAGCUCACUGCAACCUCUGCCUCCUGGGUUCAAGCAAUUCUCCUGCCUCAGUCUCCAGAGUAGCUGGGAUCUGGGCAUGUACCACCAUGCCCAGUUAAUUUUAUAUUUUUAGUAGAGAUGGGGUUUCUCCAUGUCAGGCUGGUCUCAAACUCCCGACCUCAGGUGAUUGCCUGCCUUGGCCUCCCAAAGUGCUGAAAUUACAUGCAUGAAUCACCACCCCCAGCCCACUGAUACAGAAUUCUGAUUCAUCUUAGAUGGGCAGAGGUCACAUCAGUCCCCAGGAUUUCUGCAGUCCUCUUCCUUUCCCUUUCCUGGGUUAUUCUUGUUUGUAGUCCAAUCCAUAUUCUUAAUCACUGGUAAUUAAGUGGCCUCUACUAUCUGGAGUCCCUCCUAGGUAUUAGAGUCCUAUUUGCCCUUGUCCCUCGAAUCUAUCAGUUUUCCUGGUGCGUGGGUUGCUUUCCAGACUAAUGGCCCAGGACAAAUAUCCAUGAAAAAAACUUUGCCAUUCCUUAAUUUUUCCUCUGUUUCUGUGAUUUCCCUGAAAUCAGGUUUCUUCACGUCUCUUUCAGACUGACAGCUGUGCAAGGGCAGGGAAUCUUUUUUACCAUCUCUGCAAACUUUCAUCAAUCACAGAGCCCACAACAUAGUUGGCACUCCAUAUGUGUUUGCUAACAUACACUUUCAAUCCAACCAUACAUAUAUAUCCUUUUAGGAUAAUUCUUUCUCUUUUCCUUCCCUUCCCCUCCCCUCCCCUCCUCUCUCAUCCCUUCCCUUCCCUUCCUUUCCCUUCCCAUUCUCCCUCCCUCUCUCUCCUCUGCCUUUUCCUUUCUUUCUGUCCCCUCCCUCCCUCCCUCCCUCCCUCCCUCCCUCCCUCCCUUCCUUCCUUCCUUCCUUCUCUCUUUCUCUCUCUCUCUUUUUUUGAAACAGGGUCUCACUGUGUCACCUAGGUUGGAGUGCAGUGGUGUGUGAUCAUGGCUCACUGAAGCCUCAGACUCCUGGGCUCAGGUGAUUCUCCCACUUGAGCUUCAGAAGUAGCUGGGACAACAGGCGCAUAGCACCAUGCCUGGCUAAUUUUUGUAUUUUUUAUAGAGACAGGGUUUCACCAUGUUGCCUGGGCUAGUCUCAAACUCCUGACUUUAAGUCAUCCUUCCACCUUGGCCUUUCAUAGUGCUGGGAUUACAUGCAUUAGCCACCAUGCCCAGCCUAACUUCUAUUAUACAAAAGGAAUAUUUGUUCAUUGUAAAAAAAAAAAAAAAUACUGAAGGCCGGACAUGGUGGCUCACACCUGUAAUCCCAGCACUUCGGGAGGCUGAGGUGGGCUGAUCAUGUGAGGUCGGGAGUUCAAGACCGGCUUGACCAACACGGAGAAACCCCAUCUCUACUAAAAACACAAAAUUAGCUGGGCAUGGUGGUUCAUGCCUGUAAUCCCAGUUACUUGGAAGGCAGAGGUAGGAGAAUCACUUGAACACGGGAGGCGGAGGUUGCAGUAAGCAGAGAUCGCACCAUUGCACUCCAGCCUGGGCAAUGAGCCUUCCCUACACAUAAUCUUGUUUGUCUUCUGGGGCACAUGUGCAAGUUUCUCUACCUAGGAGUAGAAUUACUGGGUCACAGUGUAUGUGAAUGUUCACCUUUACAAGGUCAUGACAAAUUAUUUUCCAAAACCAUUAUAUAAAUUUACACUCCCACUAGCAAUGUAAAUUUGUUAAGUCUCCACAUCCUCAUCAACACUUGUUAUUGUCAUAUUUUUGCUUCUUGAAAAUAUAGUGGAUAUAAAUGGUAUCUUGCUAGUGUCUUAAUUUAUAUUUCCCUAAUUACCAAUGAAAUCAAGCAUCUUUUUGUAUAUUUACUAGCUAUGUUUCCUUCCUCUGUAAUGGUUUGGGUAACAUGUUUGGCCUACCUUUC